rnacentral:rRNA from 1 species
GAAACCGACCUGGUUUACACCGGUUUAAACUCAGAUCAUGUAAAAUUUUAAAGGUCGAACAGACCUAAUUUAUUAGCUUCUACACCAAUAAUUAAUUUUAAUCCAACAUCGAGGUCGCAAUCUUUUUAUUCGAUAAGAACUCUAAAAAAAAUAACGCUGUUAUCCCUAAGGUAAUUUAAUCUUUUAAUCCAAAUCUUAGGAUCAUUUACUUAUAAAUAAAUAUAAUAAUACAAGAAAAGUUAAAUCAAUUUUCCCAUCACCCCAACAAAAUAAAUGAUAAAAACCCUCCAUUGAAAAUUCCUAAAACUAAAACUUCUUACAUUUAUAAAACUCUAUAGGGUCUUCUCGUCUUCCAUACAAAUUUAAGCUUUUUUACUUAAAAAUAAAAUUUUAAUUAAUCUUUACAGAGACAGUAAUUUUCUCAUUAAACCUUUCAUACAAGCUUUCAAUUAAAAAACUAGUGAUUAUGCUACCUUUGCACGGUCAGUAUACCGCGGCCAUUUAAUAAAUCAGUGGGCAGGCCAGACUUGAAAUUAUAAUCAACAAGCCAUGUUUUUAAUAAC